GGGAGGUAGAGAGGGGAGAGAGGGGGAGCCCUUAUCUCCCACUGAAGGAAUAAUACGGAGACAACCAGCAGCCAAAAACCAAAGAACUAGCAAAGAAAUGGCUUCUCACAACAGCAUCGAAAAGCUUUUGAUGCUGUGAGUUUUUUCAGAGCACAGGAAGGUUUGCGUGAUUUUUAGGAGGAGCGUCACGACCAAACUGAACCUCUGCAGGUCCAGCAGGAACAAAUGGACGUCACUAAAAAAAGUAAAGAAGAGCAAGUGGACGCCCUGGAAGCUGGUGUCAAGAAGGCUAUUUAGAGGAUAUAUGAAGUUUGCUUCGUCCAGUCCGGGCUACAUCCAUCCAUGGAGGUCUGACCAGACCACCAGACACAUCGGAGCUGAGGUGGCCGAGCUGCUGCCUGACUGGCCCGUCUCACUCACAGAGGAGCCCGGGGAGAGUUGUAUUACUGGUAUUGGACUAUAGAGAUGUUUAAAUGUAUUAUUGCAUUCACUGGUGAAUAUUUCAAAGAUGGGAAGUUGUUAUAGACACAUAGUACGACUCAAUGUCUAGUGCAAAUAAUUGAGUACAUUUAUAUUGUAUUAUUACUUUUGAAUUGUUGUGAAGCACGUUUUUAAGUUUAUUAUGAUGUUGUUGUUGUUAUUAAGGGCCAUUCCUCUUUAAAUCAUGUUUCCCUGAGGAGUUUUUCUUUUGCUGUUAUUAUGUAUUUAUAUAAACCAUUGAUAUAAACUCGAAAAAUUACGAGGUAAGAAAAAAGGGAAUUGAGGAGUAGUGAGAGGAAAUGCACACAUCCAAAUAUUCAACCCCUAAAAAAUGGAAAGUAAAACAUUUACAACAAAAUAGAGAGCAAGCAUAAAAACUAAAUCAAAAGUGGAAAUGAACGACAAUUCAACUAGAACACCUGUGUAUGCGCACAGUUGCUGUAUGUGAGUGUGUCUGUGGGGCUUUUGACAAAUGUCCCUUCGAUCCAUAAAUAUCUGAUUUGUCCAUGGCCUGUGGUCAUAGCAAACUUUCUCUGGCUCUCACAAAGAAAAUACUUGUUCUUCCUGUUUGGCUGAACAGGUGCUUCACUCACUUUAUAACUCUAGCAACACACAUGUGGUGAAGGAAAAUGAAAAUGUUAAGCUGCAUGGCAGCUGGGAAAUAGUUCCCUGAUCACACUCCUAUUCUUGGUAAAAAAUAUACAUUGCACAUGCAUAUAAAAUACUAUGCCAGAGAGCAAUGCUGUUGAACUAAAGUACAUGAAGUAUAAAUACUGCUAUGCUUCCUCCAGCUAAAUGUUAAUGGUUGAUGUGAAAAUAAUGUAAAGUAUGCUAAAAUAUUAAAGUCCUAAAGCCACA